AGCUUCAAAAGCGUAUAUUAAAGUUGUUGCGGUUAAAAAGCUCGUAGUUGGAUUUCUGUUGGGGACGACCUUUCCGCUCUCUGGGUGGAUUUCUUGGCUCGGCCUUGGCAUCUAUGUUGAGAACGUUUCUGUACUUCAUUGUGUGGGGCGGUAUCAACAUCUUUUACUUUGAGGAAAUUAGAGUGUUUCAAGCAGGCUUACGCCUUGAAUACAUUAGCAUGGAAUAAUAAGACAGGACCUUGGUUCUAUUUUGUUGGUUUCUAGGGCUAAGGUAAUGAUUAAUAGGGAUAGUUGGGGGCAUUCGUAUUUAACUGUCAGAGGUGAAAUUCUUGGAUUUGUUAAAGACGAACUACUGCGAAAGCAUUUGCCAAGGAUGUUUUCA
rnacentral:rRNA from 1 species